rnacentral:lncRNA from 1 species
CUAUGGUAGUGGAAGUGGUUCUGGAUAUGGAAGUGGAAGUGGUGGAGGCAAAGGUGGGGGCGGUGGAGGAGGAGGUGGUGGUGGGGUGGGCGGAGGAGGAGGUGGAUUUGGUCCUGGUUCAGGCUAUGGUAGUGGAUCAGGUUAUGGGGAGGGCUAUGGGUCUGGCUAUGGCGAGGGGGGAUAUGGUUUGCCAUGAACAUGAGGUUACAUUUUCGUUUAGAUAGCACCAUCCAAUCAGUCAUUUGUAUGCUGAAAUAAAAUUGCAAGAGCUCACCCAUGUAUGUUGGCGAAGCGACUGCAAAAGUGCAUGUAUGUCUGUUGACCACCGUUACUAAAAUCACUUUUCAUAUUCCAUAUAUGAAAGAAUACAGUUUUUUUAUAGAUAAUCUCUCCCUCUCCCCUAAUGAAAUGUGAAUAUAUCGUUUCAUACAAAAGGGAUUUAAUCACAAAAAUGGACUUCAAAAGAAAGUUAAAGAACAGAGCUUGAACUAGUGAAAAUUGAAAACUUCCUCCCAAAACUCUACUGAUAGUUGAGACUUUGCAUGCAGUAGACAAAAAACCAUGACAGUAGAGACUUAUAAUUGCAGUAGAAAAAAAAGUCACAAGGGAAAAAUUCAGCCUCAAUACAAGGCUGCUAAAAAGAAAACCUGCGUAAAAAUCUGACCUGGUUAAUGAAGUCCAGUCAUCUUCGGUAUUGGAAACUACUACCUCUCUCUACCAAAAUGUCACGGUUUAGGAUCCUUCACCAGAGGCGGCCAAAAUGCCAUUAGAAGCUGCAAAAUGAACUUUACAACCAAAGGACCACCUCAGGUCCGUUCAACAAACAUUCUAAAAAGCUAAUUAGAUUGUCCUAAUAGUAUUGCAUACAAUGGUGACUUCUUAGAAUCAGUAAAGUCUAAAAAGCGAUGCAGAAUCAGAAAGGUCUUACAGGUGAUAAAUAAUGACAACCAUGUCUGGUAUCAGCAUUCAAGUACUUACGGUCUUCAAACAAGC